rnacentral:rRNA from 1 species
GUGAGGAAUUUUCCGCAAUGGGCGAAAGCCUGACGGAGCAAUGCCGCGUGAAGGAUGAAGGCCUAUGGGUUGUAAACUUCUUUUCUCAGAAAAGAAUUAUGACGGUAUCUGAGGAAUAAGCAUCGGCUAACUCUGUGCCAGCAGCCGCGGUAAGACAGAGGAUGCAAGCGUUAUCCGGAAUGAUUGGGCGUAAAGCGUCUGUAGGUUGUUUAAAAAGUAUUCUGUCAAAGAUUAGGGCUUAACCCUAGAUAGGCAGAAUAAACUUUUAAGCUAGAGUUUGGUAGAGGAAGAGGGAAUUCCCGGUGGAGCGGUGAAAUGCGUAGAUGUCGGGAGGAACACCAAAGGCGAAGGCACUCUGCUGGGCCAAUACUAACACUGAGAGACGAAAGCGAGGGGAGCAAAUGGGAUUAGAAACCCUUGUAGUCC